rnacentral:rRNA from 2 species
UUAAGCGACUAAGCGUACACGGUGGAUGCCCUGGCAGUCAGAGGCGAUGAAGGACGUGCUAAUCUGCGAUAAGCGUCGGUAAGGUGAUAUGAACCGUUAUAACCGGCGAUUUCCGAAUGGGGAAACCCAGUGUGUUUCGACACACUAUCAUUAACUGAAUCCAUAGGUUAAUGAGGCGAACCGGGGGAACUGAAACAUCUAAGUACCCCGAGGAAAAGAAAUCAACCGAGAUUCCCCCAGUAGCGGCGAGCGAACGGGGAGGAGCCCAGAGCCUGAAUCAGUGUGUGUGUUAGUGGAAGCGUCUGGAAAGGCGCGCGAUACAGGGUGACAGCCCCGUACACAAAAAUGUACACGUUGUGAGCUCGAUGAGUAGGGCGGGACACGUGGUAUCCUGUCUGAAUAUGGGGGGACCAUCCUCCAAGGCUAAAUACUCCUGACUGACCGAUAGUGAACCAGUACCGUGAGGGAAAGGCGAAAAGAACCCCGGCGAGGGGAGUGAAAAAGAACCUGAAACCGUGUACGUACAAGCAGUGGGAGCCUCUUAAUGGGGUGACUGCGUACCUUUUGUAUAAUGGGUCAGCGACUUAUAUUCUGUAGCAAGGUUAACCGAAUAGGGGAGCCGAAGGGAAACCGAGUCUUAACUGGGCGUUAAGUUGCAGGGUAUAGACCCGAAACCCGGUGAUCUAGCCAUGGGCAGGUUGAAGGUUGGGUAACACUAACUGGAGGACCGAACCGACUAAUGUUGAAAAAUUAGCGGAUGACUUGUGGCUGGGGGUGAAAGGCCAAUCAAACCGGGAGAUAGCUGGUUCUCCCCGAAAGCUAUUUAGGUAGCGCCUCGUGAAUUCAUCUCCGGGGGUAGAGCACUGUUUCGGCAAGGGGGUCAUCCCGACUUACCAACCCGAUGCAAACUGCGAAUACCGGAGAAUGUUAUCACGGGAGACACACGGCGGGUGCUAACGUCCGUCGUGAAGAGGGAAACAACCCAGACCGCCAGCUAAGGUCCCAAAGUCAUGGUUAAGUGGGAAACGAUGUGGGAAGGCCCAGACAGCCAGGAUGUUGGCUUAGAAGCAGCCAUCAUUUAAAGAAAGCGUAAUAGCUCACUGGUCGAGUCGGCCUGCGCGGAAGAUGUAACGGGGCUAAACCAUGCACCGAAGCUGCGGCAGCGACACUAUGUGUUGUUGGGUAGGGGAGCGUUCUGUAAGCCUGUGAAGGUGGCCUGUGAGGGUUGCUGGAGGUAUCAGAAGUGCGAAUGCUGACAUAAGUAACGAUAAAGCGGGUGAAAAGCCCGCUCGCCGGAAGACCAAGGGUUCCUGUCCAACGUUAAUCGGGGCAGGGUGAGUCGACCCCUAAGGCGAGGCCGAAAGGCGUAGUCGAUGGGAAACAGGUUAAUAUUCCUGUACUUGGUGUUACUGCGAAGGGGGGACGGAGAAGGCUAUGUUGGCCGGGCGACGGUUGUCCCGGUUUAAGCGUGUAGGCUGGUUUUCCAGGCAAAUCCGGAAAAUCAAGGCUGAGGCGUGAUGACGAGGCACUACGGUGCUGAAGUGACAAAUGCCCUGCUUCCAGGAAAAGCCUCUAAGCAUCAGGUAACAUCAAAUCGUACCCCAAACCGACACAGGUGGUCAGGUAGAGAAUACCAAGGCGCUUGAGAGAACUCGGGUGAAGGAACUAGGCAAAAUGGUGCCGUAACUUCGGGAGAAGGCACGCUGAUAUGUAGGUGAAGCGACUUGCUCGUGGAGCUGAAAUUAGUCGAAGAUACCAGCUGGCUGCAACUGUUUAUUAAAAACACAGCACUGUGCAAACACGAAAGUGGACGUAUACGGUGUGACGCCUGCCCGGUGCCGGAAGGUUAAUUGAUGGGGUUAGCGGUAACGCGAAGCUCUUGAUCGAAGCCCCGGUAAACGGCGGCCGUAACUAUAACGGUCCUAAGGUAGCGAAAUUCCUUGUCGGGUAAGUUCCGACCUGCACGAAUGGCGUAAUGAUGGCCAGGCUGUCUCCACCCGAGACUCAGUGAAAUUGAACUCGCUGUGAAGAUGCAGUGUACCCGCGGCAAGACGGAAAGACCCCGUGAACCUUUACUAUAGCUUGACACUGAACAUUGAGCCUUGAUGUGUAGGAUAGGUGGGAGGCUUUGAAGUGUGGACGCCAGUCUGCAUGGAGCCGACCUUGAAAUACCACCCUUUAAUGUUUGAUGUUCUAACGUUGGCCCGUAAUCCGGGUUGCGGACAGUGUCUGGUGGGUAGUUUGACUGGGGCGGUCUCCUCCUAAAGAGUAACGGAGGAGCACGAAGGUUGGCUAAUCCUGGUCGGACAUCAGGAGGUUAGUGCAAUGGCAUAAGCCAGCUUGACUGCGAGCGUGACGGCGCGAGCAGGUGCGAAAGCAGGUCAUAGUGAUCCGGUGGUUCUGAAUGGAAGGGCCAUCGCUCAACGGAUAAAAGGUACUCCGGGGAUAACAGGCUGAUACCGCCCAAGAGUUCAUAUCGACGGCGGUGUUUGGCACCUCGAUGUCGGCUCAUCACAUCCUGGGGCUGAAGUAGGUCCCAAGGGUAUGGCUGUUCGCCAUUUAAAGUGGUACGCGAGCUGGGUUUAGAACGUCGUGAGACAGUUCGGUCCCUAUCUGCCGUGGGCGCUGGAGAACUGAGGGGGGCUGCUCCUAGUACGAGAGGACCGGAGUGGACGCAUCACUGGUGUUCGGAUUGUCAUGCCAAUGGCACUGCCCGGUAGCUAAAUGCGGAAGAGAUAAGUGCUGAAAGCAUCUAAGCACGAAACUUGCCCCGAGAUGAGUUCUCCCUGACUCCUUGAGAGUCCUGAAGGAACGUUGAAGACGACGACGUUGAUAGGCCGGGUGUGUAAGCGCAGCGAUGCGUUGAGCUAACCGGUACUAAUGAACCGUGAGGCUUAACCUU